rnacentral:rRNA from 1 species
AGGAUAAACGCUGGCGGCGUGCCUAAAACAUGCAAGUCGAACGGGCACCUUCGGGUGUCAGUGGCGAACGGCUGAGUAACACGUGGGUGACCUGCCCUCGAGCGGGGGAUAACUGCCCGAAAGGGUGGCUAAUACCGCAGAUGUCGAUCCUUCGGUGGGUCGACUGAACCGUUUAGGGUUCGAGGAGGGGCCCGCGGCCGAUUAGCUUGCUGGUGGGGUAAAGGCCUACCAGGGCUGCGAUCGGUAGCUGGUCUGAGAGGAUGAUCAGCCAGACUGGGACUGCGAGACGGCCCAGACUCCUACGGGAGGCAGCAGUUAGGAAUUUUGGGCAAUGGGGGAAACCCUGACCCAGCAACGCCGCGUGGGUGAUGAAGGCCUUCGGGUCGUAAAGCCCUUUUCCAGGGAAGAUAGUGACGGUACCUGGGAAUCAGCCCGGCUAACUACGCGCCAGCAGCCGC